rnacentral:rRNA from 1 species
AUUGGACGCUGGCGGCAUGCCUUACACAUGCAAGUCGAACGGCAGCACGGGAGCAAUCCUGGUGGCGAGUGGCGAACGGGUGAGUAAGGUAUCGGAACGUGCCCAGUCGUGGGGGAUAACGUAGCGAAAGUUACGCUAAUACCGCAUACGAUCUAUGGAUGAAAGCGGGGGAUCGCAAGACCUCGCGCGAUUGGAGCGGCCGAUAUCGGAUUAGGUAGUUGGUGGGGUAAAGGCUCACCAAGCCGACGAUCUGUAGCUGGUCUGAGAGGACGACCAGCCACACUGGGACUGAGACACGGCCCAGACUCCUACGGGAGGCAGCAGUGGGGAAUUUUGGACAAUGGGCGCAAGCCUGAUCCAGCCAUGCCGCGUGCAGGAUGAAGGCCUUCGGGUUGUAAACUGCUUUUGUACGGAACGAAAAGGUUUGACUUAAUACGUUGGACUCAUGACGGUACCGUAAGAAUAAGCACCGGCUAACUACGUGCCAGCCGCCGCGGUAA